AUUGAACGCUGGCGGCAGGCCUAACACAUGCAAGUCGAACGAGUGGCGGACGUGUGAGUAAUGUCUGGGCAAGUGACUGGUGGAGGGGGAUAACUACUGGAAACGGUUGCUACUACCGCAUACCAUCGGAUGUGCCCAGAUGGGAUUAGCUAGUGGGUGGGGUAAAGGCCUACCAAGGCGACGAUCCGUAGCUGGUCUGAGAGGAUGACCAGCCACACUGGAACUGAGACACGGUCCAGACUCCUACGGGAGGCAGCAGUGGGGAAUAUUGCACAAUGGGCGAAAGCCUGAUGCAGCCAUGCCGCGUGUAUGAAGAAGGCCUUCGGGUUGUAAAGUACUUUCAGCGGGGAGGCGUUACCAACAGAAGAAGCACCGGCUAACUCCGUGCCAGCAGCCGCGGUAAUAC
rnacentral:rRNA from 1 species